rnacentral:tRNA from 1 species
ACCUUUCUAGUAUAUAAUUAAGUAAAAUUGACUUCCAAUCAAAAGGACCUACAAAGGGAAAGGUA